CCCUUAGAUGUUCUGGGCAGCACGCGUGCUACAUUGAUACAUAUAAUAUGUUUUUGCCAUUUGAAAAAAUGGUGUAAUCAUCAAUGUGUAUCAAUCCAGGGAUUGUUUGUUGGAAUGUCAAACAUCAACGAGGAAUUCCUAGUAAGCGUGUAUCAUUAGUUCACGUUGAUUAUGUCCCUGCCCUUUGUACACACCGCCUGUCGCAUCUAGUGAUUAGGUUAUAUCAUGAGUUAAACAGAGGUGAAUUUGAUGUCUUUGACAGCCUAGUUUAUCGAAGUUUUGCAAAUGGUCUAACCCAAAAGUAGAUAAANUCAUAAC
rnacentral:rRNA from 1 species